rnacentral:rRNA from 1 species
ACUCCUACGGGAGGCAGCAGUGGGGGAUCUUGCACAAUGGGCGAAAGCCUGAUGCAGCGACGCCGCGUGCGGGAUGAAGGCCUUCGGGUUGUAAACCGCUUUCAGCAGGGAUGAGGCCGUAAGGUGACAGUACCUGCAGAAGAAGCCCCGGCUAACUUCGUGCCAGCAGCCGCGGUAAU